rnacentral:rRNA from 1 species
GGACGAACGCUGGCGGCAGGCCUAACACAUGCAAGUCGAACGAGAAGCCAUCCUUCGGGAUGGUGGGCAGUGGCGAACGGGUGAGUAACGCGUGGGAACCUGCCCUUCGGUACGGGACAACCGCGGGAAACUGCGGCUAAUACCGUAUAUUCCCUACGGGGGAAAGAUUUAUCGCCGAAGGAUGGGCCCGCGUCCGAUUAGCUUGUUGGUGAGGUAAAAGCUCACCAAGGCAACGAUCGGUAGCUGGUUUGAGAGGAUGAUCAGCCACACUGGGACUGAGAUACGGCCCAGACUCCUACGGGAGGCAGCAGUGGGGAAUAUUGGACAAUGGGGGCAACCCUGAUCCAGCCAUGCCGCGUGAGUGAAGAAGGCCUUAGGGUUGUAAAGCUCUUUCAGCGAGGAAGAUAAUGACGGUACUCGCAAAAGAAGCCCCGGCUAACUCCGUGCCAGCAGCCGCGGUAAUACGGAGGGGGCUAGCGUUGUUCGGAAUUACUGGGCGUAAAGCGUGCGUAGGCGGUUUGUUAAGUUGGGCGUGAAAGCCCGGGGCUCAACCCCGGAACUGCGUUCAAAACUGACAGACUAGAGACCGGGAGAGGAGAGUGGAAUUCCCAGUGUAGAGGUGAAAUUCGUAGAUAUUGGGAAGAACACCAGUGGCGAAGGCGACUCUCUGGCCCGGUUCUGACGCUGAGGCACGAAAGCGUGGGGGAGCGAACAGGAUUAGAUACCCUGGUAGUCCACGCCGUAAACGAUGAGUGCUAGACGUCGGGAGGCUUGCCUUUCGGUGUCGCAGCUAACGCAUUAAGCACUCCGCCUGGGGAGUGCGGCCGCAAGGUUAAAACUCAAAGGAAUUGACGGGGGCCCGCACAAGCGGUGGAGCAUGUGGUUUAAUUCGACGCAACGCGCAGAACCUUACCAGCCCUUGACAUGCUAGGUCGCGGAUUCCAGAGAUGGAAUUCUUCAGUUCGGCUGGACCUAGUGCAGGUGCUGCAUGGCUGUCGUCAGCUUGUGUCGUGAGAUGUUGGGUUAAGUCCCGCAACGAGCGCAACCCUCAUCUUCAGUUGCCAGCGGUUAGGCCGGGCACUCUGAAGAAACUGCCGGUGAUAAGCCGGAGGAAGGUGGGGAUGACGUCAAGUCCUCAUGGCCCUUACGGGCUGGGCUACACACGUGCUACAAUGGCGGUGACAGUGGGUCGCAAGAGCGCAAGCUGGAGCUAAUCCCCAAAAACCGUCUCAGUUCGGAUUGUUCUCUGCAACUCGAGAGCAUGAAGUUGGAAUCGUUAGUAAUCGCGGAUCAGCAUGCCGCGGUGAAUACGUUCCCGGCCCUUGUACUCA